rnacentral:rRNA from 1 species
CUACGGGGUGCAGCAGUGGGGAAUAUUGGACAAUGGGCGCAAGCCUGAUCCAGCAAUACCGCGUGUGUGAAGAAGGCCUGCGGGUUGUAAAGCACUUUCAAUUGUGAAGAAAAGCGAGAGGUUAAUAGCCUUUUGUCUUGACGUUAACUUUAGAAGAAGCACCGGCUAACUCUGUGCCAGCAGCCGCGGUAAUACAGAGGGUGCGAGCGGUAAUCGGAAUUACUGGGCGUAAAGCGUGCGUAGGCGGUUUAGUAAGUCAGAUGUGAAAGCCCUGGGCUCAACCUGGGAACUGCAUUUGAAACUGCUGAACUAGAGUGUGGUAGAGGGAAGUGGAAUUCCGGGUGUAGCGGUGACAUGCGUAGAUAUCCGGAGGAACACCAGUGGCGAAGGCGACUUCCUGGACCAACACUGACGCUGAGGUACGAAAGCGUGGGUAGCAAACAGGAUUAGAUACCCUCGUAGUC